CCUACGGGAGGCAGCAGUGGGGAAUAUUGCACAAUGGGGGAAACCCGGAUGCAGCGACGCCGCGUGAGUGAAGAAGGAUUUCGGUAUGGAAAGCUCUAUCAGCAGGGAAGAAAAUGACGGUACCUGACUAAGAAGCCCCGGCUAACUACGUGCCAGCAGCCGCGGUAAUACGUAGGGGGCAAGCGUUAUCCGGAUUUACUGGGUGUAAAGGGAGCGUAGACGGCCAGACAAGUCAGAAGUGAAAGCCCCGGGCUCAACCCUGGGACUGCUUUUGAAACUGCCGGGCUGGAGUGCAGGAGAGGUAAGCGGACUUCCUGGUGUAGCGGUGAAAUGCGUAGAUAUUAGGUGGAACACCAGUGGCGAAGGCGGCUUACUGGACUGUAACUGACGUUGAGGCUCGAAAGCGUGGGGAGCAAACAGGAUUAGAUACCCCGGUAGUC
rnacentral:rRNA from 1 species